GCUGUGGUGACUCAGUGGAUUGAGUGUCGGCCCAUGGACCAAGAGGUCCUGGGUUCAAUUCCCAGUCAGGGCA
rfam:Myotis davidii contig166121, whole genome shotgun sequence.